rnacentral:rRNA from 1 species
UACGUAGGGACCGAGCGUUGUCCGGAAUCAUUGGGCGUAAAGAGCGUGUAGGCGGCCACUUAAGUCCUGCGUGAAAUCUUGCGGCUCAACCGCAAGCGGUCGUGGGAAACUGGGUGGCUAGAGUGCGGGAGAGGAGAGUGGAAUUCCUGGUGUAGCGGUGGAAUGCGCAGAUAUCAGGAAGAACACCCGUGGCGAAGGCGGCUCUCUGGAACGCAACUGACGCUGAGACGCGAAAAGCGUGGGAGC